ACCCGCUGAAUUUAAGCAUAUAACUAAGCGGAGGAAAAGAAACUAACAAGGAUUCCCCUAGUAAGGGCGACUGAAGCGGGAUCAGCCCAGAUUGUAAACUGACCUUAAUUAAGGUUGGGUUGUAGUCUAAAGAGGCGACGCCAGGCAAGGUCCGGGGAGAAGUCCCUUGGAACAGGGCAUCGGAGAGGGUGACAAUCCCGUCUGUGCCUCGGACCGCGUCGUACGGUGCGUCUUCGACGAGUCGGUUUGCUUGGGAUUGCAGACCAAACGGGUGGUAAAUUCCAUCUAAGGCUAAAUACGGGUGGGAGACCGAUAGCGAACAAGUACCGUGAGGGAAAGAUGCAAAGAACUUUGAAAAGAGAGUUAAAAAUGGCCUGAAACUGGUAAGAGGGAACCGAACGGCAGAAGUGGUGAUGGGCGCGUAUUUUCCGCCGGGCUCUUGGCCGGCGUACUUGUGCGCGUCCGUAGGUCAGCGUGGGUUGGGGCGUGGGAGUCGUUCAUGGGGAGGUCUUCGGACCAAUCUCGUGUUCAGGCCGCGCCUGAGACCUUCGGUGACGAAAUUCUUCCGUUCACCCCGUCUUGAAACACGGACCAAGGAGUCUAAAAUACGAGCGAGUGCGCCGGUGGCAACCCGGGGCGCGUAAUGAAAGUGAGACCGACGGUGGGAGGGCUUUACGUCCGCACCAUCAACCGACCAGGAUCCUCCGGGUGAAAGGUUUGAGUGUAGCUUGUAUUUUGGGACCCGAAAGAUGGUGAACUAUGCCUGAAUAGGGCGAAGCCAGGGGAAACUCUGGUGGAGGCUCGUAGCGAUUCUGACGUGCAAAUCGAUCGUCAAAUUUGGGUAUAGGGGCGAAAGACUAAUCGAACCAUCUAGUAGCUGGUUCCCUCCGAAAUUUCCCUCAGGAUAGCAGCAAUCGAAGAGUUUUAUCAGGUAAAGCGAAUGAUUAGAGGCCUCAGGGGUGGAACGUCCUUGACCUAUUCUCAAACUUUAAAUGGGUAAGAGCCAGGGGUUGCUUAAGUGAACCCCUCGGUCGAAUCGCGGUUGCUAGUGGGCCACCCGGGGUAAGCUCGGUUGGCGAUGCGGGAUGAUCCGAACGUCGAGUUAAAGUGCCUCACUGCCCGCUCACCUAGAUCCCACAAAAGGUGUUGGUUCAUUUAGACAGCAGGACGGUGGCCAUGGAAGUCGGAACCCGCUAAGGAGUGUGUAACAACUCACCUGCCGAAUGGAUUAGCCCUGAAAAUGGAUGGCGCUGAAGCGAGCGACUUAUACUCGACCAUCACGGCAAGUGCGACGCCGUGAUGAGUAGGAGGGCGUGGGGCUCGUGGCGCAUCCCGCGGCGUGAGCCGGGGUGAAACGGGCUCUAGUGCAGAUCUUGGUGGUAGUAGC
rnacentral:rRNA from 1 species